CGUCGAGGUGUCGAAGGACCACCGCCGGCUGUUCAUGGUGGCCGAGAUGAGCGAUGUCCACAUCGUUCGGUUCGACCCCGGCCCGGACGG
rnacentral:tRNA from 1 species